UACGAAGGGGGCUAGCGUUGUUCGGAUUUACUGGGCGUAAAGCGCACGUUAGGCGGAUCGUUAAGUCGGGGGUGAAAUCCUGGAGCUCAACUCCAGAACUGCCUUCGAUACUGGCGAUCUUGAGUCCGGAAGAGGUUGGUGGAACUGCGAGUGUAGAGGUGAAAUUCGUAGAUAUUCGCAAGAACACCAGUGGCGAAGGCGGCCAACUGGUCCGGUACUGACGCUGAGGUGCGAAAGCGUGGGGAGCAAACAGG
rnacentral:rRNA from 1 species